GACGAACGCUUGCGGCGUGCUUAACACAUGCAAGUCGAACGGAAAGGCCCUGCUUUUGUGGGGUGCUCGAGUGGCGAACGGGUGAGUAACACGUGAGUAACCUGCCCUUGACUUUGGGAUAACUUCAGGAAACUGGGGCUAAUACCGGAUAGGAGCUCCUGCUGCAUGGUGGGGGUUGGAAAGUUUCGGCGGUUGGGGAUGGACUCGCGGCUUAUCAGCUUGUUGGUGGGGUAGUGGCUUACCAAGGCUUUGACGGGUAGCCGGCCUGAGAGGGUGACCGGCCACAUUGGGACUGAGAUACGGCCCAGACUCCUACGGGAGGCAGCAGUGGGGAAUAUUGCACAAUGGGCGGAAGCCUGGUGCAGCAACGCCGCGUGCGGGAUGACGGCCUUCGGGUUGUAAACCGCUUUCGCCUGUGACGAAGCGUGAGUGACGGUAAUGGGUAAAGAAGCACCGGCUAACUACGUGCCAGCAGCCGCGGUGAUACGUAGGGUGCGAGCGUUGUCCGGAUUUAUUGGGCGUAAAGGGCUCGUAGGUGGUUGAUCGCGUCGGAAGUGUAAUCUUGGGGCUUAACCCUGAGCGUGCUUUCGAUACGGGUUGACUUGAGGAAGGUAGGGGAGAAUGGAAUUCCUGGUGGAGCGGUGGAAUGCGCAGAUAUCAGGAGGAACACCAGUGGCGAAGGCGGUUCUCUGGGCCUUUCCUGACGCUGAGGAGCGAAAGCGUGGGGAGCGAACAGGCUUAGAUACCCUGGUAGUCCACGCUGUAAACGGUGGGUACUAGGUGUGGGGUCCAUUCCACGGGUUCCGUGCCGUAGCUAACGCUUUAAGUACCCCGCCUGGGGAGUACGGCCGCAAGGCUAAAACUCAAAGGAAUUGACGGGGCCCCGCACAAGCGGCGGAGCAUGCGGAUUAAUUCGAUGCAACGCGUAGAACCUUACCUGGGUUUGACAUGGAUCGGGAGUGCUCAGAGAUGGGUGUGCCUCUUUUGGGGUCGGUUCACAGGUGGUGCAUGCCUGUCGUCAGCUCGUGUCGUGAGAUGUUGGGUUAAGUCCCGCAACGAGCGCAACCCUUGUUCACUGUUGCCAGCACGUUAUGGUGGGGACUCAGUGGAGACCGCCGGGGUCAACUCGGAGGAAGGUGGGGAUGACGUCAAGUCCUCAUGCCCCUUAUGUCCAGGGCUUCACGCAUGCUACAAUGGCUGGUACAGAGAGUGGCGAGCCUGUGAGGGUGAGCGAAUCUCGGAAAGCCGGUCUCAGUUCGGAUUGGGGUCUGCAACUCGACCUCAUGAAGUCGGAGUCGCUAGUAAUCGCAGAUCAGCAACGCUGCGGUGAAUACGUUCCCGGG
rnacentral:rRNA from 1 species